ACUAUGUUGAUCAGGCUGGUCUUAAUCUCCUGGCCUCAAGUAAUCCACCCGCCUUGGCAUCCCACAGCCCUGGAAUUACAGGCGUGAGCCACUGUGCCCCUCCAGAAGCUACUGUUUUAAAGUCAUCAUUGCAAAGGGUAGUGUGUGAUGUGCAGGAGUGGAAAGGGCAGUCCAUUCAUGUUAUGGAAGUGCAUGGGGAAAUAAAGAACAGGCCUACCCCCUUGUUUAUUUAUUACGAAGGGGUAUGAGAAAAAUGCAAUUUUCAAAGAAAGAGAACUGGUGAGAAUGUAGUACCUUCUCAAAGAAAGCUAGGUUUGGUUAAAGUGAGAAGCUAGAGGAAGCCACGGAGGAAGGGUUACAAAUUGAAAGACUUCUGCAAUGGUGGAGGUAGUAUGGAGAAGGGUUUCUUAAAAUACAGGGAUCUGUUUAAGAUGAGGGGGUAAGGUAGAGUAGGAUUGAGAUAGAAUAAAAUGAAAGAUGGAAGAGAAAAAAGAAGGCAGUAGAGGGAGAGGGGAGUUAAUUUGGGUUAUGGAUAACAGAAGGAAAUUGGUAGCCUGAGAAGCUUGGUAGAGGCACUUGCCACUUGCAUGGGAAGGGAAAUAUCAGGCAGAUGAUCUUGUUGCUAAAGGAAGCUAGAGGAUUUAGGAAAAGGGAUUUGGCACACUGGCCUCUGUCACCCAACCCUCCCCAAUAACACACAACACAGACAAAUUGAGUGCACUGUUGACAUUUAGUAUCACCACAGAUUCUCCCCCUAUGACUGGUAGAAGCUAAGAAGAUGAAAUUCAGGCUAUUGACCUUUCUUUUUCUUUUCUCUGAGUUUUCUUAUGUCAAUGCUGGUCCCUAGUUAGUUUCUUCCCUCCUUCCCUCCCUCCCUCCCUUCCUCCACCCCCACCCCUUUAUUUUUAUGAGACAGGGUCUUGCUGUGUUGCUCAGGCUAGAGUGCAGCAGUUCUAUCAUGGCUCAUGCAGUCUUGACCUCCCAGGUUCAAGCAAUCCUCCCACCUCAGCCUCCUCAGUAGCUGGGACUAUAGGCAUGUGCCACCACACCCAGUUAAUUUUUAAAAUUUUUUGUAGAGAUGGGUUUCCUUAUGUUGCCCAGGCAGGUCUCAGACUCCCUCCUCGGCCUCCCAAAUACUGAAAUUACAGUCAUGGGCCACUGUGCCCAGGCUUUUUUUUUUUUUUUUUUAAGAAUUGGAUAGAUGAGGAUAGACCCAGGAAAUGAGAGUGGAAUUUGAAAAAGAAAAACAGAGUAAAAUGAAAAGUUAAAAAUAAAAAAGUUUACUCCUAAAUAUUUGUACGAAACUCAGGCUGGGGGAAUAGAAUGUAAUGGUACAUACAAAUAAAACGGAGUGAAGUG